rnacentral:rRNA from 1 species
GACGUAGGGCGCGAGCGUUGUCCGGAUUUAUUGGGCGUAAAGAGCUCGUAGGCGGCUUGUUGCGUCGACCGUGAAAACCCGGGGCUCAACUUCGGGCUUGCGGUUGAUACGGGCGGGCUGGAGUUCGGUAGGGGAGACUGGAAUUCCUGGUGUAGCGGUGAAAUGCGCAGAUAUCAGGAGGAACACCGGUGGCGAAGGCGGGUCUCUGGGCCGAUACUGACGCUGACAGCGCGAAAGCCAGGGGAGCAAACGGG